ACCGACUUCCAAAAAAGGAGGAGGUUCUCAAUUCGACUGUAUUUUUUUUUUUUUUUUUUUUUUUUUUUUUUUUUUUUUUUUUUUUUUUUAUGUAUGUUACAUCAGAACUUUUGACCGGGUUGACCGAUUUCGACAAAUUUUGUUUUAAUCGAAAGGUGGUGUGUGCCAAUUGGUCCCAUUUAAAUUUAUUUGAGAUCUAACUACUACUUUUCGAGCUAUAUCUAAUAAUGCGUUUUUACUUGACGCUUUUUUCGUCGACCUGCGUUGUAUUAUACCACAUAACUUUCUACUGGAUGUACCGAUUUUGAUCAUUCUUUUUUUGUUAGAAAAGAGA
rnacentral:misc_RNA from 1 species